GACGACAGUUUAUAUUCCCCAAUAACCGGACCAAACACACAGUCCAAAUCCUUUGAGCCCUAAUUUCUCAAAUCAUAACCUUUCACUCCAUCGCUCCAACCCCUAAUUCCUAUCAACGCUUUUGCUGUCGUCGCUCGCCAGGGUUUUGAUUGAGAUUUGUUCUGCACGGGUUCGAAGAACAAGUAGUUAGAGAAAGAUGCUAGAGAAUCUUCAGGUUCCUCCGUCGACAACGGAAUCGGCCCCAGUGCUGAAGCGCUAUGCUCCACCCAACCAGAGAACGUUUCUGCUAACAGGCGCAAAUCAUUUGGAAAUCCUGUAUGAUAUUUGCAGAUUUCUUUAAAAAGCUGCAAGUAAGUUUGUACUUCGAUCUCUGCCUCUGGCAUAAAUGAUGCAGUAUCAGAUGUUAAGAAUGAGAUAGCACAACAUCUGGUUAAUUUGGAAGUUUCUAACUUUAGCAUGGCUCCGGUCAAGAGGAAAUUGAAUGGGCCUUAAACUCGGGAACAUCGGUGAAUAAUACUUGGGUGCGCUUGAGCUUUUUUUGAUUAAAAGAAAGAUAAAGGGUCCUUCAUGGCUACAGGUUUCAAACUUUUCUCCAAGCUCAGCUUCUUGAAGGGUUAGCUGGUGCAAAUUUGAAGUGACUGUUGACUCUCCUAAACAAAUAAUAUUGACACUCCUAUGAUGGCUUUAGAGUGUGGAGGAGAACUGAAAGGCUGACCCGUUUUACUAUUGUUCGUAAACUUGAUGGGAUUAUAUUUCCGAUGGGGUUCAGCAAGGAGGUUACAGACAGAAACUUACAAGCGGGUUCAAAUAUUCUGUGUGCUGAAAGCAGGUAGAGACACUAAAAGAUGGCUUGUGCUUAUUUGCAUGACCAUAUGUUAUUCUUUGAGUUUGAAUAUGUUAUCUAAAAAUUGUGAAACUUUUCUCGGAAAUUGUGAUUGCUUCUAGGCUUGACAUAGAUCUUUUGAGUUUGUUUUCAGUGAAAGAGCUCUGUUGAACCGCUUCAUGUUAGAAUUGCACAAGUUGGAUAGUGAUGUUCUUGUUGGACACAAUAUUUCUGGAUUUGACCUGGAUGUUCUUCUCCACAGAUUCCAAGUUGGAAUUUUGGCUUUUCCUCAAACAAUUUCUUGUCAAUUUCUUGUUAACAAAUUAAUAUUUAAUAAUUUUAAAAAUAUCACAUA